UGAGGAACAUGACCUUCGGCGGGGGAGUAGCCGGCCCAACGGCCGGGUAAUACCGCGUACGACCUUUCGGGGACAUCCCGGCUGGUGAAAGCAGCAAUGCACCGAAGGAGUGCCUCGCGGCCUAUCAGCUAGUUGGUGAGGUAACGGCUCACCAAGGCGACGACGGGUAGCUGGUCUGAGAGGAUGGCCAGCCACAUUGGGACUGAGACACCGGCCCAGACCUCCGUACGGGGAGGCCAGCCGUAAGGG
rnacentral:rRNA from 1 species